GAUGAACGCUGGCGGCGUGCUUAACACAUGCAAGUCGAACGGAAAGGCUCCUGCUUGCAGGGGUACUCGAGUGGCGAACGGGUGAGUAACACGUGGGUGAUCUGCCCUGCACUUCGGGAUAAGCCUGGGAAACUGGGUCUAAUACCGGAUAGGACCAUCGUUUAGUGUCGGUGGUGGAAAGUUUUUUCGGUGUGGGAUGAGCUCGCGGCCUAUCAGCUUGUUGGUGGGGUAAUGGCCUACCAAGGCGUCGACGGGUAGCCGGCCUGAGAGGGUGUACGGCAAAAUGGGGACGGAGGGAGGCCCCAGACUCGGAGGGGGGCGAGGGGGGGGAAAUUGGGAAAAGGGGGGGAAGGCUGGGUGGGGCGGCGCGGGGGGGGGAAGGACGGCUUUGGGGUUGAAAACCCUUGGCGCCGGGGAAGAGGAGAAGGGGACGGUCCGUGAAAAGAAAGCCCGGGCAAACUCCGGG
rnacentral:rRNA from 1 species